GGGCAAAACCAUUUGUCAUCGGUUAAACUCUUCUUCUGCCCGACUCCCUGUUGAGAUUCACAGAUGGAUUUCGUCUUCAGAAUCUAGGUUCCAAGCUGUUAUAUAAUAUUUUUCGAAUCGAGGAAACGUCAACAGUCUCUGUGUUAUUCUCUGGAAGUUUUUUCUUUGUAGAGAUGAACUUUGUUCAACGCAAGAUCUAUCUUUAUAAUGUCACUUUUGGGUUGUACAUGUUGGAAUGGUGGGAGCGGUAUCUCUUCAAUAUAUUGAUUAUCGUGUUGCUAUGGUUUAUUUGUUACAACGGAUCACGAUCUGCAGCUGAGUUCUACAAAAGCCAUCUUAAGGUUAAGCUUGGGGUGUAAAGCUGAAAAUUGCCAGAGCAAUAGGUGAUAUUCCUAUGAUAGGAUUAUGCUCUUAUAAUGACGCUGCUAAUGCAAUUAAAAUUUAUCAAGAUUCAAGAUGUAAUUCCAUGUACUAAGGUAUCGUUUUAUCGAGAAAAGCCAAUGUGUAUUUUCGUUUUACUGAAAGAAGUUUUAACCACUUUUUCCUCCCAUUUUCAA